rnacentral:rRNA from 1 species
AGCACAGGUUUACCUGUGUGACUGCGUACCUUUUGUAUAAUGGGUCAGCGACUUAUAUUCUGUAGCAAGGUUAACCGUAUAGGGGAGCCGUAGGGAAACCGAGUCUUAACCGGGCGUUAAGUUGCAGGGUAUAGACCCGAAACCCGGUGAUCUAGCCAUGGGCAGGUUGAAGGUUGGGUAACACUAACUGGAGGACCGAACCGACUAAUGUUGAAAAAUUAGCGGAUGACCUGUGGCUGGGGGUGAAAGGCCAAUCAAACCGGGAGAUAGCUGGUUCUCCCCGAAAGCUAUUUAGGUAGCGCCUCGUGAAUUCAUCUCCGGGGGUAGAGCACUGUUUCGGCUAGGGGGCCAUCCCGGCUUACCAACCCGAUGCAAACUGCGAAUACCGGAGAAUGUUAUCACGGGAGACACACGGCGGGUGCUAACGUCCGUCGUGAAGAGGGAAACAACCCAGACCGCCAGCUAAGGUCCCAAAGUCAUGGUUAAGUGGGAAACGAUGUGGGAAGGCCCAGACAGCCAGGAUGUUGGCUUAGAAGCAGCCAUCAUUUAAAGAAAGCGUAAUAGCUCACUGGUCGAGUCGGCCUGCGCGGAAGAUGUAACGGGGCUAAACCAUGCACCGAAGCUGCGGCAGCGAACGUAUCACCCAAGACAACUUUACGGAGUUGACGAUUGACGGAGCGAAGCGACGUCAAAGCGUUCAUUAAAGUCGAGUUGGCUUAGGGAUACGUUCGUUGGGUAGGGGAGCGUUCUGUAAGCCUGUGAAGGUGUGUCGUGAGGCAUGCUGGAGGUAUCAGAAGUGCGAAUGCUGACAUAAGUAACGAUAAAGCGGGUGAAAAGCCCGCUCGCCGGAAGACCAAGGGUUCCUGUCCAACGUUAAUCGGGGCAGGGUGAGUCGACCCCUAAGGCGAGGCCGAAAGGCGUAGUCGAUGGGAAACGGGUUAAUAUUCCCGUACUUGGUGUUACUGCGAAGGGGGGACGGAGAAGGCUAUGUUGGCCGGGCGACGGUUGUCCCGGUUUAAGCGUGUAGGUGUGUGUUCCAGGUAAAUCCGGUUCACUUUAACACUGAGGCGUGACGACGAGGCACUACGGUGCUGAAGCAACAAAUGCCCUGCUUCCAGGAAAAGCCUCUAAGCAUCAGGUAACAC